CUAAUUGUUGUCUUUCAUUAAGAUGAUGUUAGGAGAUAUAUCUAUCAAUUCUGCAUAUAAUUCUUUAAAUUGUUCUGGUAGGAUUUCUAGAGAAGGAUCAUAUAACUUCCACCACUUGUAGAAUAGUACUAACCAAAUACCUAACUCGUCAUGAUGACGCCUAUUAUGGUACUAGGCAAGCCGACAUUUCCAAAAUACAUUGAUAAUUUAUAAGAAGAUAGUUCAAAACCUUUUCAUAAUAGAGAUUUCAUAAGAAGAGUUAAACUAAUAAUAUAAUGCGGAAAAGAUAGCCCGACAUCAGAGUGUCACUAAGUCAUGAGCAUCUACAAUCGCUGUAGAAUCAAAGAUUACAAUAAUCCGUCAAAUGCCAUAAAAACAGAAAGAAAGACAACAAUGGAAGGAGAGCCAAGGUCUGCGGACGCUGGUAGCUACCUCGUAGAUCUCCGAGCAGUCAACCACGCACGAGCUCAACGAAACUUGUGACCGGUCUCACCUGGAUCUGCACACAAGGUGCAAGGAUUAACAUGAGUACUUCCAACUCAGUAAGUAACAUAAAUAAAUAAGGAACUGAGAAGUAGUAACGAGCUAUGUAAAUACAGUUAUCUCAAUAUCUUUCAAAUAAGAACAAUCAUGCUUUCCAAUUCAUUAGUUUAAGUCACAUCAGUUCGUGCUCAAGUAAACCCGAUAUUUAUACAACAAGGACAAGUAACAACUAAGUGCAACAAUUAACUGAAAGUAAGUACAGCCUCUCAAGGCAACAUUCACUCAACUCAUCUCAACAACUCAAUCACUCGGCUCUCAACCCUCAAUAAUCAUACUCAAUAGGUAUCUGCGCUCACUAGGGCUGUGCAGACUCCGAAGGGGCUCCUUCAGUCCAAGCGCUAUAUCGCUAUGGUGUGCAGCCCGACCCAAUAUAUAAAUAACCAUAAGGCUCGUUGCGGCAUGCAACCUGAUCCAAUAUAAAUAAUCAGCCCGAAGGCUCGUUGCGGCGUGCAACCCGAUCCAAUAUAUACAUAUAUAGCCCUGAGGCUCGUUGCCGCGUGCAACCCGAUCCAUAUACACUCAUAUAGCUCAUAGCUCGACACCCAGGCCCUAUCUCAGUCACUAACCUCACCAGUCCCUCGAGCUCUCAAAAAGCAUAGAAUUCAGCCCAAACAGAGAUAAUAACAUGUAUCAAUGAUAAAUAGGAGGGGACGGAGGUAAAAUACGCAAGUAAUAUCAUGACUGAGAACAAAAUAACAAAUAGCAGUUAAUUCAGCAAGUCCUCGCGGGUCUCAAUAGUGAUAUCACAAGGCCUAAAUAGGAUUUCUAACAUGAAAUGCAGUCAAUUUCUAUAAAAAUAGAGGGGACAGGUAUUAAACAGUAGGCUAAUCGAUUCUACAGUUUCACAGGACGGACCAAGUCACAAUCCCUCGGUGCACGCCUACACGCCUGUCACCUAGCAUGUGCGUCACCUCCAAAAUAGUCAUACAACAUGAUGUUCGGGGUUUCAUAGCCUAAUGACUAGAUUUAUAAUCGUUACUUACCUCAAUCCCAGAAUAAUCCUACUCCGCGAUGCCUUUGCCUCUCGAAUCAGCCUCCAAACGUCCCGAAUCUAGCCAAAAGCAACACAACAUAAUCAAUAUAUGCCAAAGGAACCAAUUCCACAAGAAAACUACUAAAUUGGGCUCAAAUCCCAAAAUUGACUCAAACCCGCUCCCGGGACCACGUCUUGAAAUCCGACAAAAGUCCCAAAACUAUAAAUUCCAUUCACUCACGAUUCUAACCAUACCAAUUUCAUUAAAAUCCAACAUCAUUUGGUCCCUCAAAUCUCCAAAUUAUUCUCUUCAAAAUCCCAAGCACUAAUCCCUUAUUUCACUUCAUAAAUCCUACUAAUUAGGUGAGAAAUCAAUGAAAAAACACCAUAGCUAAUGAUAAUAGAGCUCAAGCAACUUACCGCAAUAAAUAUCCUUGAAUUCCCUUAAAAAUCCUCCUAAAAACUCCAAAGUCCAUGUUCAAAAUGGUGGAAAUAAGCAAAAAUUCAUGAAGUCUUCUAUUUAUAGGUUCUGCCCAGGCUUUCCGCACCUGUGGCUCAAUAUGUGCACCCGUGGUGCCGUUUUUGCAAAAAAAUCUCCGCAUCUGCGGAAAAUCACUUAAAAUCCCUGGACCGCUUCUGCGCCUCUAGACCGCAUCUGCGAUCAUCGCAGGUGCAGAAUUGACAUUGCACCUGUGGACCAACACACGCACCUACACCCUCUCUUCCGCUUCUGCAACCAUCGCAGGUGCGGGAACUUAAUCCCACAUGCGCGUUCUGCCUAGAUCCUCCAAUCUCGCAUCUGUGAUCCUUUGCUCGCUUCUGCGGGCUCGCACCUACGAUGAGACAUCCGCAGGUGCAAUUAUGACAGUUGAGUUCCAACUUUAGCAAUUCUCCAAACUUCAAACUUGAUCCGUUAACCACCAAAAACACAUCCUAGACCCUCGGGACCUCAACCAAACAUACCAACUGUCACACCUCUUUUUUACUAUAUACCCGAAGGGUGUAAGGGAGUUUUUUCAAUUAAAGGACAAUCGAAACGGGAUUUAUUUCAAUUAAAAUUCAGAGUCGCCACUUGGGAUAAUUUUAUGGUGUCCCAAGUCACCGGUUUCAAAUCCCGAAUCGAGGAAAGAUUGACUCUGUUUUACAGUCCGCGAACAUAGAAAUUCGGGUAAGGAAUUCUGUUAACCCGGGAGAAGGUGUUAGGCAUUCCCGAGUUCCGUGGUUCUAGCACGGUCGCUCAACUGUCAUAUUUGGCCUAUUAUCUGAUUUUAAAAUAUUUUUGAACCCGUGUGCAUUUUUUAACUUUGAAACCGCUUUUAUUUAUUUUUAAAGUAGAUUUAACGUCGUCUAAAACAUGUCUUUGGAUCGUGCCACAUGAAAUGCACCCGCAAUCCGAAACAGGUUUUAUUCAACAUUAUUAAGAUUUGGAUUUGGGUCACAUGAAAUGCACACCCGAGUUUAGGAAGGUAAUAUUAUUAAAAUAAUGCGCUUAAAGCAACUACGCGUUUGCCACUUUGUGAGGGCCACGAAAAUUCAACUACGUGGCACGCCUCGAAUUCUAAGGAUCAAAACAAGAUUAAUUAAAUGAGGGCCAUGAAAUUGAGAUUUUAUUUGGCAUGGCACGCCUUAACUUAUUCAAAAAAAAAUUCUCAAGACAAAGGUGUUGCUCAAUUUCAACUCCAAGGAACCUUUCAUUUGCAAAAUUAAUUUGUUGUUCCAGGUGUUGCUAUCACAAUUUUUCAUACCUGGAACCAACUUCACAUUUAAAGCACGUACAAAAUGCAGCAAUCAAAGGCAUUGCUAAAUUACUGGAGAUAUCUACAACCUAUCAAAUAGUUACUAAUUUUGAGAUCCUCCAACGUUGGGCCUAUUUCAGGAAGUAUAUUUAACCCCUUUAUCUUUUAAACACAUUAAUAAUCAAGGCUAAACACAUUAACAACCAAGGUCCAGUAAUGUUGACAAGUUUCAACCUAAGUUAAUUCAUAAACAGUUCACUAUCCCCUUCGAUUCUUAAUUCCAACCUCUACAAACUAGUUAAGCUCAAACAAAAGCCAAUCCAGUGAGAUAAAACUUGCCUGCUUUGAUAUUCCAUGCGUUCAUGCUUGUCUCUCUUUUUACUUGUUUAUAUACCAACAGCGUGCGAGUCUCAAAUGAACUCAGGUGUGCAAUAACAAGAAAAUUUGGCUCAUGUGUAAUAAAGACUGCCCUACAAAUCCGGUAAUGGCCUACUCGCUUUUUGUAUCUUACACGGCCCAAAUGUCUUAAUCAAAUUCACAAAUGUAAUCAAAUGGACCAAUCAAAUUUUAUUUUUAGUUUAAUAUGCCUUCUGCUCUUAAUGAUCCAGCGAUCAAGUGGUGAACUACUGGGCUCCAAGGACAAGCCCAAAUACUCACUUUUGUAAAUGAUUUUAGGCCCCAAAGCUCAAUGAGCCCAAACCCUGUAAGGACGAGACUAAGGACCCAGACUCGACAUCGAGUCCUUACCACAGCAAGCGGCCCUUUUAUGCUUAAUCUUCAACCAAUAGCUCUUUUCUAAUAUUAGCAUUAACCAAUCGAAAAAUAAUAAGUAAGCUCAUGCCUUAUCCCACAAUGACUGGAGCAUACAGAGAUUUCAAAUUCAUGCUCAACUUCAACUAUUCUAAUUUGGUGAUCGACAAAACAUUUGUAUAGUCAAGCACAUCUUGGUAUACAAAAUCAACCAACUCUUUUAACAAUAAUAAAGACUGAAGUAAAACAAAUGGAAACCAGCAAGUAUAGAAUAACAAUCCAGUUACAUUUUUGACAUGAAUCUCAUUGUGUGCAACAUAGCUUUACUUUAAACAUGCUGAGCCAGAAAUUCUUUUCAACAAGUCAAAUGGGGAAGGGAACAAAGAGAGAGACAUAUAACAAAACAAAUAUCUUCAUUAUCUCCUCAAAACAUCACAUGAAUCAACCUUUACAUUUUAAGAUCGAGGUAUGUACCUGAAUGUAAGAAGGAAGCAAAAGAAGUGAGGCUUCAGUAACAAAACAGCAGCAGCAAAACAAUACUAGCAGAACCACUUUCAAACCAUAAAAUGAUAUGCAGCAGUCCAGAAAAAGUUUUAAUCAAAUAGUAAAUACCACAACUUCAAAUCAAACUUCUACAAACCCAAGUUCAGUCCAUUUUUAAUCCCAGAUGAUUCAAAAAUGGAUUCAGAAGUUGAAAAACCUUAAAGAAUUCAGAAGAGAAUUUAAUGGAAUAGAAAACCAACACAAAGCUUGAACUAUUUUUCAGAAAGAGUUGGUUUCAAUGUAUUUCAAGUCCCAGAAUAAGAAACUAUGAUUUCAUAAGUUUCCUUCGCCAAAUGAAAGCAGAAUACUCCUAAAUGAGCAGAGUUUGAGUAGUUUUAAAACAAAUAAUGUAAUGAAUUCAGAAUUUUCCAAAGGUAUUCAUCUAUUUUGUUUCCUCUCUAUUUUCUUAUCUCUUUCAAACUCUAUCUUUUCAGUAUUUUUUCAGAGUAUUCUUGUAUAUCUUUUUUGACUCUCUUGUGUAUCUAUGUCUGUUUUUUAUGUCCCUCCCUAUCUAUCUAUGAAUUCCUUAAAUAGGCA
rnacentral:lncRNA from 1 species